rnacentral:rRNA from 1 species
AUACGGAGGGUGCAAGCGUUGUCCGGAUUUAUUGGGUUUAAAGGGUGUGUAGGCGGUGUAUUAAGUCAGUGGUGAAAGCCUGCGGCUCAACCGUAGAACUGCCAUUGAUACUGACACACUUGAGUUUGGUUGAGGUAGGCGGAAUUUAUGGUGUAGCGGUGAAAUGCAUAGAUACCAUAAAGAACACCGAUAGCGAAGGCAGCUUACUAAGCCGAAACUGACGCUGAGGCACGAAAGCGUGGGGAGCGAACAGGAUUAGAUACCCUAGUAGUCC